rnacentral:lncRNA from 1 species
GCCCUUUGGGUCAUCCACUCUCCCCUUGCCAUGUCCAAGGCCCAGCCACUAGGACAGCACGGCAGACCUUUCCUUGACAGCAGAAUGCACUGACAACACCCUGACCUAUGCUGACAUCAUCCAGCUGGUCACAAAGAACAUGGCAAUUCGAAGGAAAAAGCUCAGGCAGCUAGACCGGAUGUACGAGAACGAGUGGAACUGUUUUAACAAUUACCUAAUGGAGCUGCAAGAAAACUAUGAGAGGUAAGAGGGCACAGGGGCAGAGCCACAAGUGGACACCCAUCUGCUGCAGCAGUCAGCAGGAUUUAGUUGGAGUUAGGAGCAAAGAGGUUUUUCUGUGGCCCGAUUAGAAAGAGCUCAUUCACCGGCAAGUGGUGGUGUAUGCCUUUAAUCCCGGCAAUCAGGAAGCAGAGGCAAGUGGAUCUCGGAGUUUGAAGCCAGCAUGGUCUACAUAGCUAGUUACAGGAUAGCCAGGGAUAUACAAAUAAAUUCUGUCUCUAAAAACUGCUACCAACACCAAUAACAACAACAACGACAAAACAAACAAAAAAAAAAAAAA